UACAGAGGGGGCAAGCGUUGUUCGGAAUUACUGGGCGUAAAGGGCGCGUAGGCGGCCUGUUAAGUCGAACGUGAAAUCCCCGGGCUCAACCCGGGAACUGCGUCCGAUACUGGCAGGCUUGAAUCCGGGAGAGGGAUGCGGAAUUCCAGGUGGAGCGGUGAAAUGCGUAGAUAUCGGAAGGAACACCGGUGGCGAAAGCGGCGCGCUGGACCCCCACUGACGCUGAUGCGCGAAAGCCAGGGGAGCAAACGGG
rnacentral:rRNA from 1 species